rnacentral:rRNA from 1 species
AACGAACGCUGGCGGCAUGCCUAACACAUGCAAGUCGAACGAGACCUUCGGGUCUGGUGGCGCACGGGUGCGUAACGCGUGGGAACCUGCCCUUAGGUUCGGAAUAACUCCCCGAAAGGGGUGCUAAUACCGGAUAAUGUCUUCUGACCAAAGAUUUAUCGCCUUUGUAUGGGCCCGCGUUCGAUUAGCUUGGUGGUAUGGUAAAAGCCUACCAAGGCGACGAUCGAUAGCUGGUAUGAGAGGAUGAUCAGCCACACUGGGACUGGGACACGGCCCAGACUAGUACGGGAGGCAGCAGUGGGGAAUAUUGGACAAUGGGCGAAAGCCUGAUCCAGCAAUGCUGCGUGAGUGAUGAAGGCCUGAGGGUUGUAAAGCUCUUUUACCCGGGAUGAUACUGACAGUACCGGGAGAAUAAGCUCCGGCUAACUCCGUG